UGGGGAAUUUUGGACAAUGGGCGAAAGCCUGAUCCAGCAAUGCCGCGUGUGUGAAGAAGGCCUUCGGGUUGUAAAGCACUUUUGUCCGGAAAGAAAUCCUUGGCUCUAAUACAGUCGGGGGAUGACGGUACCGGAAGAAUAAGCACCGGCUAACUACGUGCCAGCAGCCGCGGUAAUACGUAGGGUGCAAGCGUUAAUCGGAAUUACUGGGCGUAAAGCGUGCGCGGGCGGUUUGCUAAGACCGAUGUGAAAUCCCCGGGCUCAACCUGGGAACUGCAUUGGUGACUGGCAGGCUAGAGUAUGGCAGAGGGGGGUAGAAUUCCACGUGUAGCAGUGAAAUGCGUAGAGAUGUGGAGGAAUACCGAUGGCGAAGGCAGCCCCCUGGGCCAAUACUGACGCUCAUGCACGAAAGCGUGGGGAGCAAACAGGAUUAGAUACCCUGGUAGUCCACGCCCUAAACGAUGUCAACUAGUUGUUGGGGAUUCAUUUCCUUAGUAACGUAGCUAACGCGUGAAGUUGACCGCCUGGGGAGUACGGUCGCAAGAUUAAAACUUAAAGGAAUU
rnacentral:rRNA from 1 species